AUUGAACGCUGGCGGCAGGCCUAACACAUGCAAGUCGAACGAGUGGCGGACGGGUGAGUAAUGUCUGGGAACCUGCCCGAUGGAGGGGGAUAACUACUGGAAACGGUAGCUAAUACCGCAUACCAUCGGAUGUGCCCAGAUGGGAUUAGCUAGUCGGUGGGGUAAAGGCUCACCUAGGCGACGAUCCCUAGCUGGUCUGAGAGGAUGACCAGCCACACUGGAACUGAGACACGGUCCAGACUCCUACGGGAGGCAGCAGUGGGGAAUAGUGCACAAUGGGCGCAAGCCUGACGCAGCCAUGCCGCGUGUGUGAUGAAGGCCUUCGGGUUGGAAAGUACUGUCAGCGAGGAGGCGUUACUCACAGAGGAAGCAACGGCUAACUCCGUGCCAGCAGCCGCGGUAAUUC
rnacentral:rRNA from 1 species